AUAGUAGAGAUGUGAAUGUUUUCUCUGUUUUGUGACACAUCCAGUUUAUAUCCAGAAAAUUGAUGCUCGGCAUAGACAUAAUCCUUUGUUGUUGUUUGUUACAGGGACCUGCUGGUCCAGUCGGCCCCACUGGCCCUGCCGGUGCCCGUGGUGCUCCUGGCCCUGCGGGUGCACGUGGUGACAAAGGUGAAGCCGGUGAACGUGGCAGCAAUGGGAUGAAGGGUCACCGAGGAUUCCCUGGUAACCCCGGACCCCCUGGUCCAAGUGGUGCAUUGGGUCCCCAAGGUCCAAGUGGAAGCCCAGGACCUGCUGGUGCAAGAGUAAGUAACCUGCUGAUUCUGUCCAACCU